UACAGAGGUCUCAAGCGUUGUUCGGAUUCAUUGGGCGUAAAGGGUGCGUAGGCGGCGUGGUAAGUCGGAUGUGAAAUCCCGGAGCUUAACUCCGAAACUGCAUUCGAUACUGCCGUGCUUGAGGACUGGAGAGGAGACUGGAAUUUACGGUGUAGCGGUGAAAUGCGUAGAUAUCGUAAGGAAGACCAGUGGCGAAGGCGGGUCUCUGGACAGUUCCUGACGCUGAGGCACGAAGGCCAGGGGAGCAAACGGG
rnacentral:rRNA from 1 species